rnacentral:rRNA from 1 species
GAUGAACGCUGGCGGCGUGCCUAAUACAUGCAAGUCGAGCGAACAGACGAGGAGCUUGCUCCUCUGACGUUAGCGGCGGACGGGUGAGUAACACGUGGAUAACCUACCUAUAAGACUGGGAUAACUUCGGGAAACCGGAGCUAAUACCGGAUAAUAUAUUGAACCGCAUGGUUCAAUAGUGAAAGACGGUUUUGCUGUCACUUAUAGAUGGAUCCGCGCCGCAUUAGCUAGUUGGUAAGGUAACGGCUUACCACGGCGACGAUGCGUAGCCGACCGGAGAGGGGGAUCGCCCACACUGGAACGGAGACACGGUCCAGACUCCCACGGGAGGCAGCAGUAGGGAAUCUUCCGCAAUGGGCGAAAGCCUGACGGAGCAACGCCGCGUGAGUGAUGAAGGUCUUCGGAUCGUAAAACUCUGUUAUUAGGGAAGAACAAAUGUGUAAGUAACUAUGCACGUCUUGACGGUACCUAAUCAGAAAGCCACGGCUAACUACGUG